rnacentral:rRNA from 1 species
UAGAGUUUGAUCAUGGCUCAAAUUGAACGCUGGCGGCAUGCUUUACACAUGCAAGUCGAACGCGCCGGGGGCAACUCCGGUGAGUGGCGAACGGGUGAGUAAUGCAUCGGAACGUACCCCGUAGUGGGGGAUAACGCCGCGAAAGCGGCGCUAAUACCGCAUAUGCUCUACGGAGGAAAGCAGGGGACCGCAAGGCCUUGUGCUAUGGGAGCGGCCGAUGCCCGAUUAGCUAGUUGGUGAGGUAAUGGCUCACCAAGGCGACGAUCGGUAGCCGGCCUGAGAGGGCGGACGGCCACACUGGGACUGAGAUACGGCCCAGACUCCUACGGGAGGCAGCAGUGGGGAAUUGUUCGCAAUGGGCGCAAGCCUGACGACGCAACGCCGCGUGGAGGAUGAAGGUCUUCGGAUUGUAAACUCCUG